rnacentral:rRNA from 1 species
AUUGAACGCUGGCGGCGUGCCUUACACAUGCAAGUCGAACGGUAACAGGCCUUCGGAUGCUGACGAGUGGCGAACGGGUGAGUAAUACAUCGGAGCGUGCCCGAUCGUGGGGGAUAACGAGGCGAAAGCUUUGCUAAUACCGCAUACGAUCUACGGAUGAAAGCGGGGGAUCUUCGGACCUCGCGCGGACGGAGCGGCCGAUGGCAGAUUAGGUAGUUGGUGGGAUAAAAGCUUACCAAGCCGACGAUCUGUAGCUGGUCUGAGAGGAUGAUCAGCCACACUGGGACUGAGACACGGCCCAG